AGUUUGUAACUCAUAACAAUACAAAAACAGGUCCGCAAUAAGUGGUGCACAGUUAGUCCCCAUUGGAAUUCCAAUAACUUGACGAUAUACGGAAUCUCCAAAGCGAACAAAAUUGUUAUCAAGUAAAAAUUCAAGCGCAAAUAUAGUAUCAAAGCAUGUCCAAUUGACAUAGUUCAUUUGUUUGUUGCUACUAAAAAAUGACCGAAAAGAGUUUGAACAUAUGUAUUGGCAUUCUGACUUUUUAAAUGCCCAAUUAAUUAGGGAUGUGAUUUUUUUUUCUUAAUAAGAAUAUGAGGCAAAGUGGUAUAUAGGGUAGAAAAAUCAUAACUUUGAACAGAUUCAAAAUCACCAAUAUAUGCAUGCAAUUUAUCAAGUACUUCCAACGAGUUUUUGACACUCCAAAAGUAAUUAAUUCCACUAUUUUCAAAGGCCUUAUUUGAACAAUUUAUUAUCAGGUUUUUGAUUGUACCAAGUGUACCUGUAAGUAGAAUAGACAAUUUAGUAAUGCAACAAUGGCUUGAAGAUGAAAUAAAUAUAUACUUGUAAUGUGUUUUGUGUAGCUUCGGAAGCCAGUACAUAGUUGGGACUUUCAUUGUAUUUGGUUCUGCUUGUAAAGAUGUAGCUAAAAGUUUGUGUUUGUUACAGAUGUCGUUUUCUGAAAAUGAAGUCAGUUGGAAUGUUGGUGAAUUCGUGAUUUCCUUUUGCAGAACCUCAAUGUAAAAUUUACGUCAAACAAUAAUGAUAUUAUAGUAGCUAUAUCAGCCGGGACAAAAACAAAUUCCUUGGCUAGUUCAUUUAGUUUAAGCAUGGAUUUCUGGCGAAAACAUUUAUAACGGCCGAAUUUAAAGUUUUGUCUUGGUUAAUAGAAGAAAUUUUCAUCAUAAAAUUGAAACGCAUGCGGAAAAACGCACAAACGCAUAAAGAUGUUUAUUCAGGACAAUAACUUAUAUCCAAAAAUAACAGCAGAAAUAUAUAUGAACU
rnacentral:lncRNA from 1 species